ACAUACGGCCACAGACACAGGAAAAUACGGGAUCCCAUCCGCUCUCCCAUAGUUAAGCCUGUGAUUAAUAGACUUAUCAUUAUCGUUAUCUGGGCCUCCCUCCCGCCGUCUAUG
rnacentral:rRNA from 1 species